AAGUGUGGGGAGGGCGGUGCUCAGCUACCACCCGACCCAU
rnacentral:rRNA from 1 species